rnacentral:rRNA from 1 species
UACGUAGGGGGCGAGCGUUGUCCGGAAUCAUUGGGCGUAAAGCGCGUGUAGGCGGCUCGGUAAGUCUGCUGUGAAAGUCCAGGGCUCAACCCCUGGAAUGCCGGUGGAUACUGUCGAGCUUGAGUCCGGAAGAGGCGAGUGGAAUUCCUGGUGUAGCGGUGAAAUGCGCAGAUAUCAGGAGGAACACCAAUGGCGAAGGCAGCUCGCUGGGACGUGACUGACGCUGAGACGCGAAAGCGUGGGGAGCAAACAGG